AUGGAAACGCCUAUGAAACUC
rnacentral:siRNA from 1 species